GCCCUUCUCUCAGCAUGGAAAAAGGACAAUUUGACCAGCUCUGACUCUCUCUGUCUCUUUCUGGCUCUGUCUCUCUUUGUCUCUGUCUCUUUCUGUCUCUGUCUCUGUCUCUCUGUUUCUGUCUCUGUCUCUCUCCCUCUGUCUCUCUGUCUCUCUGUCUCUGUCUCUCUCUGUUUCUGUCUCUUUGUCUUUGUCUCUGACUCUCUCUGUCUCUGUCUGUCUGUCUCUGUCUCUCUGUUUCUGUCUGUCUAUCUCUGUAUCUGUCUCUCUGUGUCUCUGUCUCUGUCUCUCUGUGUCUCUCUUUGUCUCUGCCUCUGUCUCUGUCUCACUUUGUCUCGGUCUCUCUGUCUCUGUCUCUCUGUCUCUCUCUGUAUCUGUCUCUGUCUCUCUGUCUCUCUUUGUCUCUGUCUCUCUCUGAUUCUGUCUCUCUGUCUCUCUUUGUUUUUGUCUCUGUCUCUGUCUGUGUCUCUCUUUCUGUAACUGUCUCUCUGUAUCUCUUUCUCUUUCUCUUUGUCUCUCUUUGUUUUUGUCUCUGUCUCUCUGUUUCUGUAACUGUCUCUGUAUCUAUCUCUCUGUCUCUCUUUGUCUCUGUUUCUCUCUGUCUCUGUCUCUCUUUGUCUUUGUCUCUGUCUCUCUCUGUCUAUGUCUCUCUGUCUGACUCUGUCUCUCUUUGUCUCUGUCUCUCUGUUUCUGUCUCUGUCUGUCUCUCUCUCUGUAUCUGUCUCUCUGGUCUCUGUCUCUCUGUCUAUCUCUCGGUAUUUGUCUCUCUGGUCUGUCUCUGUCUGUCUGUCUCUCUGUGUCUGUCUCUCUAUCUCUGUGUCUGUCUCUCUCUGUCUAUGUCUCUCUGUCUGACUCUGUCUCUCUUUGUCUCUGUCUCUCUGUUUCUGUCUCUGUCUGUCUCUCUCUCUGUAUCUGUCUCUCUGGUCUCUGUCUCUCUGUCUAUCUCUCGGUAUUUGUCUCUCUGGUCUGUCUCUGUCUCUCUGUCUGUCUCUCUGUGUCUGUCUCUCUAUCUCUGUGUCUGUCUCUCUCUGUCUAUGUCUCUCUGUCUGACUCUGUCUCUCUUUGUCUCUGUCUUUCUGUUUCUGUCUCUGUCUGUCUCUCUGUAUCUGUCUCUCUGGUCUCUGUCUCUCUGUCUGUCUCUGUCUGUCUCUCUGUGUCUGUCUCUCUAUCUCUGUCUCUCUCUCCUUCCAUCUCUCUCUCUCUCUUCCUCCCCACAUGUAUGUAUGU
rnacentral:lncRNA from 1 species